rnacentral:rRNA from 1 species
GAUGAACGCUAGCGGCAGGCCUAACACAUGCCAGUCGAGGGGUAGAAGGAGCUUGCUCCUUUGAGACCGGCGCACGGGUGCGUAACGCGUAUGCAAUCUACCUUGUACAGGGGAAUAGCCCAGAGAAAUUUGGAUUAAUGCCCCAUAGUAUAUAACCUUCGCAUGUUGGUUAUAUUAAAGUUCCAACGGUACAAGAUGAGCAUGCGUCCCAUUAGUUAGUUGGUAAGGUAACGGCUUACCAAGACGAUGAUGGGUAGGGGUCCUGAGAGGGAGAUCCCCCACACUGGUACUGAGACACGGACCAGACUCCUACGGGAGGCAGCAGUGAGGAAUAUUGGUCAAUGGUCGCAAGACUGAACCAGCCAUGCCGCGUGCAGGAAGACGGUCCUAUGGAUUGUAAAAUGCUUUUAUACAGGAAGAAACCCUCCCACGUGUGGGAGCUUGACGGUACUGUAGGAAUAAGGAUCGGCUAACUCCGUG